CUCGCCACAACUCGCCUCGCCUCGCUUCGACUCACCUCGCACUGCUUUUGCCUUGCCACGCCGCGCCGGUAGCCACGCGUACAUACUGAUCCUUUCCUCUUUUUCCGCCGUCCAGUUGGUUUCUUCGCUCGUUUCGAUCUUCUCCGCGUUUCGUUUCGUCUCUUUUCUCAACCCUCUUGUACCAUUCGACCAAUAUCGAUCGCGCUAUCUUGCCAAUAAGUUUCAAGUUACCCACGCUGACGAUUUCUAGUUAGCGUAGCUUGUAUGUAGGUGUAAUUUCUCUUUCUUAAACGGUAACACGUUUGGUAGCGGGACAAACGAAGUUCUGUAAGUGAAUCUUGCGAGUUUUACAAGCUCUAGUCGAUCGUUUUAUUAAACGUGAAAUUAUAAACUCUCGUAGAAGCUGGGUAUGCAACAAGAAUCUAUAAAUCUACGGACUGUCACGACCGUUAAUUCGUCGAUAUCGUCAGGAAAUCGCGCCAAAACGUCCCACCAGGUUUCUCCGCGUUUCUGUUCUCUGAUUUUCCUUUUGUAUCGUAGGAUCGUCGGACCAGAAACGGCGCGAUCCGCGCUUAACCGAGUUUACGAACGAGAUAUCGCGGUAAAAGUCGUGAAAACGAAAACGAGUUUCGAACGAAGCGAAAAAUGAAAAAAUGUAGCGAAAUGCUGACGAACGCCGGACCUUGUACGACUAACUGGCAAAGUGUCACCGUACGCAACGAUCGUCCUGGUAUCGAGGUCCACUCGACGACUAUUAAGUAACAGGACGAGGUUUGAUCAGACGCGUGUGCGUGUAACACGUUAAAUAAGAAAAGGGGAAAGUAUCGAAGCAUUCGAUCGUUCUGUAAACCGCAUGUCGUCUCGCGAUAACGUUCCAUAUCCAAGAGAGAACGUAUCGCCGUGACGGAGAUGCUAGUGAUAAAGAGAGCCGCGAAAAUGAAGGAUAGCCGAUGGUAACGUGAAAAUGUUCUGUUCACGAUUAGAUUGUUCGCCAAGCGUAUACACGCGAGUGUAUUAUGGUGUUGCGUACAACGCUUGUCGCACGCCUAACGCGGCAUUCAUGGAAUGUUGCAUGUAAUACCAGAUGUUUGCAAGGUUCCGAAGAGGUUCGCGGACGCGUGUUACAAUGUAACUAUUACGUAAUGGAAGGCUGAUGUUGUUUGAACACGGAGAACGGCAGCUAACACUCAGCAUUUAAUCUAAGUAUGUACGUACUUAAGUACGUACGUCCACGACGCGCAAAAUUUCUGCAACCAGUCGCUUCGACACAACUCUGCGAGCAUGCGACGAUUGUAAAUUUGAUUUACUUUCACUGGGGAUCGCUCGCGACCUUUUUGUGCGUGGCUCGAUUGUUAAAAAUAUCAAAUGCAAGGGAAAACACGGCAAUGGAACGUGGCUUGGACGUUGAUUAUAACGAAGGAAGAGAUUUAGGCUGUUACAGGUAACACAGCGGUACGGUAUGCAGCGGUUGACACGAAAGUUGGCCGUACGAGAAAUUCCUUUCGAAGAUGCGCGCCUCGAUGGCAUUCAACCUUUGGAGAUAUUUAUUUUUGGAAACGCCUCGUCUUACUCGGUACCUCGAUUUAGAUAGCGUGAGAGAAAUAUUUGAUAUACGGCGAUUCCUUAAUUUCACCACGCUGACAAUGAACGUGUCGGACACCACGCAUACCGUCCGUUUAUUCCGCAAUGUUCGGAUCUCAAUUCCACAGAGAUAAUCCUGAAAGUAUCUGCAAAGGUGAGGGAAGGAGAUACCAUUAUCGAUGCAUACCGGCUCACCCAAUAAAACGUUGGUAGCUUACAGCCCUGGAUCGUCAUUCUGCACGUCCGUGGAUGAAACUCUUGGAGAAAAGCAAGAGAUGCUGCAGUUCACUCUACUUCUCUCUUCCUCUCUCGUCCAGUACGUUCUCUUUCUCCACUGACCAACAGCAACGGAAUAAAUAAAGUAAAUAGAGGAAUAUAGGAGGUAAAUAAAAAAUGUGGCAGCAGAGAAGAGAGACAGAGAAAGAGAGAGAGAGAGAGAGAGACAGAGACAAGGAGAGAAAGAGAGAGAGAGAGAGCAGAGUGUGUGCGAGGAAAGAGGGAGGGAGGUAAGGAGAAAAAGAGAGUUAAAGGGAAAGAAGGAGAGGAAAGAAGAGAGGAAGGGAGAGUGCCCUCAGGGCGAAUUCCCGUCGAGCAUCGGCCGCUGCAGAAUCCAGAGGUGCGUUCACCGGGGAAAUCCCUCCCUCGGAGAUUAUCCUCUUGAAGAAAACUCGACGACUGUGCAUUUUUAACGCGCGCCGUGUACGACCGCGUGUUCCUUUAUUUACAAUUGCGUUUUCUUAAGCGCACUUCACUCUUCUUUCGUCGCAUUUUUAGAAAAGUGAUAUUUACGUCCGGCAAAACUAACGAUAGAUUGUACACUUGUAAUUGUACAAGAUUUGUACGAGAC